GACGAACGCUGGCGGCGGGCUUAACACAUGCAAGUCGAACGGAAAGGCCCUGCUUGUGUGGGGUGAUCGAUUGGCGAACGGGUGAGUGAGACGUGAGUAACCGGCCCUUGACUUUGGUAGAGCUUCAGGUAACGGGGGUUAAUACCGGAUAGGAUCCCCUGUUGGGUGGUGGGGGGUGGAUAUUUUCGGCGGUUGGGGAUGGACGCGCGGCUUAUGAGCUUGUUGGUUGGGUAGGGGCUGACCAAGGCUGUGACGGGUAGCCGGCAUGAGAGGGUGACCGGCCACAUUGGGACUGAGAUACGGCCCAGACUCCUACGGUGGGCAGUGGUGGGGAAUAUUGUACAAUGGGCGGGAGCCUGAUGCAGCAACGCCGCGUGCGGGAUGACGGCCUUCGGGUUGAAAACCGCUUUCGCCUGUGACGACGCGUGAGUGACGGUACUGGGUAAAGAAGCACCGGCUAACUACGUG
rnacentral:rRNA from 1 species